GUGAUCUCUUCAGCAGCACAUAUACUAAAAUUGGAAUGAUACAGAGAUUAGCAUGGUUCCCGUACAAGGAUGAUACACAAAUUUGUGAAGUGUUCUAUAUUUUU
ensembl:snRNA U6 U6 spliceosomal RNA